rnacentral:rRNA from 1 species
AUUGAACGCUGGCGGCAUGCCUUACACAUGCAAGUCGAACGGCAGCACGGGUGCUUGCACCUGGUGGCGAGUGGCGAACGGGUGAGUAAUAUAUCGGAACGUACCUUAUUGUGGGGGAUAACGCAGCGAAAGCUGUGCUAAUACCGCAUAAUCCCUAAGGGGGACAGCGGGGGACCGUAAGGCCUCGCGACACUAGAGCGGCCGAUACCUGAUUAGCUAGUUGGUGAGGUAAAGGCUCACCAAGGCAACGAUCAGUAGCUGGUCUGAGAGGACGAUCAGCCACACUGGGACUGAGACACGGCCCAGACUCCUACGGGAGGCAGCAGUGGGGAAUUUUGGGCAAUGGGGGCAACCCUGAUCCAGCAAUGCCGCGUGAGUGAAGAAGGCCUUCGGGUUGUAAAGCUCUUUUGUCAGGGAAGAAACAGCAGCUCUAACACAGUUUGCGAAUGACGGUACCUGAAGAAUAAGCACCGGCUAACUACGUGCCAGCCGCCGCCGUAA